UUGGGAAGCCUUUCUGGUGAUUUCAGCUGACUUUGAACCAGGCUCUUGGCUUGCUGCAGAAGGCAAAAUCAGAGCCGUGCUGUGGGCAUGUGGCCUUGCAGCCCAUCUGGCCAACCGGGGUGCAGUGGGACGUGUCUCACUGGCAGCCCCAUGCUGCCAGAGAGGACGGUGACAGUCCCUCUCUGGGUCUGUGGCCCUAGCUGCUGUACUUCACAUCCUUCCUCCAUGUCUCUCAUCCUCAGCCCUGAGCCCCUCUACACUCCAGAGGAGAGCUGGCCUGCUAGAGCCAUCUACCAGGUCCUGGGCAACGCAAGUGCCUUGUGCAAAGCAAGAGUGAAGUCUCUCGAAGGUUACAGUGUGACUUCAGCCUCAGAUCAUCUGCGGCAACUCCGCUGAAAACUGCCAUGAGACUCGCUCUUCUUUAGCUAAUCUCUGGGGAGCUGAUGAACUGUGCCUUACAAGAGGACACAUGAACCAAGUGUCGCACAAAAAUUAAUUGCACCUUCCUACUGAUGGCCUUUUGUCUGCACAUUCUGCCAGCAUCAAUGAGACAAGUCAAGAUGAGCCAUUCAAUUCAGAGCGAGAGACAGAGAGCUGUUUGCAAACGAAGCUUUCAAUCUUCAUUCAUGGAAAGGGCCAUAUUCCCAUGUAAGUGAAACACAAAAGUUUGGGGUCCAGCAAACUGAUGAUGUAGACCCAGCCAGGAAACUGUUUUUUUUCCAUAAAAAUCCCUUCCCUCUUCCUUGCAUAUGUCAAUAAGACAAUAAUGAGGUUUUGCGGCAAAAUUUUUCCAUCCUCUCUGGUCAGAAUUUCAGGUGCGGAUGCAGUGCCCCACACCAUCUGUGGAACCUUCUGCUACAAAAUUUUCUGAAUAAGAUGUGCAUCCUCUCGGUUUUGUAAGAUUUUCAGCCCUCCAAGCCCAGUCUGGAUGAUGUUUGGCACUCUCUCAGCCUCUCCUUAUUGGAAUCAGGGUCAGCAGGCUUGAGCUGAGUAUGGUCACACUUCACUUUCACCUUCCCUAGAGGAGGUCUGACCCACCUUGGCUUUGCAAAACACCCAGCUUUUUAAAGGAAUCUGUUGCUAAUAAAUUCAUUCAUCCCCAUGGCAGUUACUUUGCAGAGCUGGGCACUAUCUUUCAUCUGUUCUUUGAGCCCACCAGCAAAGAACAUAGUCCCUCCUAAAGCAAACACGUUUCAGUGUGGAUACCAAGCAGAUGAAACAGCAGACUUUAUUGGCAUGGAUGAGGUUAUUGCUUGAGAAAAGAUUGCAGGACUGGACCCCUAAGGAGUGAAAUCAGAGUAGAAGAAGAAGCUGACAGGAUGUUAUGUGUAUUCUGCAAUUCCACUGUGUCCACUACCUGCUAUAUGGCCUGCUUAUAUUUUGCCCUUGCUUUUUUAUUAAACAAUCCAUAUGUUUUCAGCUCAGAAAUAGGUUUCUUUUGAAGUUUAAAAGCAGUUAGGUCAUAGCUGAAACAGCUGUUCAAGAACCACCCAGGCAAGAAGUGAUUUGCGGAGCUGCAUUUUCAGUG